rnacentral:rRNA from 1 species
CCCUUAGACGUUCUGGGCUGCACGCGCGCUACACUGACCAGUGCAACAAGCAUCCGUCCUUGGCCGACAGGCUCGGGCAAUCUUUGAACGCUGGUCGUGAUGGGGAUAGACUUUUGCAAUUUUUGGUCUUCAACGAGGAAUUCCUAGUAAACGCAAGUCAUCAACUUGCAUUGAUUACGUCCCUGCCCUUUGUACACACCGCCCGUCGCACCUACCGAUUGAAUGGUCCGGUGAAGCCUCCGGAUUGGCGCGCACCUCGGUGCCGCCGAGAAGUUGGCUAAACCUUACCAUUUAGAGGAAGGUGAAGUCGUAACA